UAAGACGAACCGUGCGAACGUUAUUCGGAAUCACUGGGCUUAAAGCGCGUGUAGGCGGCCCGGCACGUCAGUCGCUGAAAUCCCCCGGCUCAACCGGGGAAGUGGCGUUGAUACGACCGGGCUGGAGGGGGGUAGGGGGGACGGGAACUCACGGUGGAGCGGUGAAAUGCGUUGAGAUCGUGAGGAACGCCCGUGGCGAAAGCGCGUCCCUGGACCCCACCUGACGCUGAGACGCGAAAGCCAGGGGAGCGAACGGGAUUAGAUACCCCGGUAGUCCUGGCCGUAAACCAUGAGCACUGGGUAGGGGGCUCGCCGAUGGGCUCCCUGCCGCAGCGAAAGCGUGAAGUGCUCCGCCUGGGGAGUAUGGUCGCAAGGCUG
rnacentral:rRNA from 1 species